rnacentral:rRNA from 1 species
ACUCCUACGGGAGGCAGCAGUGGGGAAUAUUGCACAAUGGGCGCAAGCCUGAUGCAGCCAUGCAGCGUGUGUGAAGAAGGCCUUCGGUUGUAAAGCACUUUCAGUCGUGAGGAAGGUAGUGUAGUUAAUAGCUGCAUUAUUUGUACGUUAGCGACAGAAGAAGCACCGGCUAACUCCGUGCCAGCAGCCGCGGUAAUACGGAGGGUGCGAGCGUUAAUCGGAAUUACUGGGCGUAAAGCGCAUGCAGGUGGUUUGUUAAGUUCAGAUGUGAAAGCCCGGGGCGUCAACCUCGGAAUAGCAUUUGAAACUGGCAGACUAGAGUACUGUAGAGGGGGUAGAAUUUCAGGUGUAGCGGUGAAAUGCGUAGAGAUCUGAAGGAAUAACCGGUGGCGAAGGCGGCCCCCUGGACAGAUACUGACACUCAGAUGCGAAAGCGUGGGGAGCAAACAGGAA